rnacentral:ncRNA from 25 species
GAAGAACUGUAGGGACUACAGGGAUAGCCUAGGGCAUAUAAGAUAGAUAUAGCGUUUAGUCGAUCAUUUGUCUUUUUCUAGGAAAUUUCUAGUUAAAUAGAGAUAGUUCACUAAUUAUUAGUU